GACGGAAGGUGCAAGCGUUGCUCGGAAUCACUGGGCGUAAAGGGUGCGUAGGCGGCUUGGUAGGUCUGGUGUGAAAGCCCCGGGCUCAGCCCGGGAAGGGCACUAGAAACUGCCAAGCUAGAGUGCCGGAGGGGAGAGUGGAAUUCCUGGUGUAGCGGUGAAAUGCGUAGAGAUGCGGAGGAACACCGAUGGCGAAGGCAGCCCCCUGGGCCAACACUGACGCUCAGGCACGAAAGCGUGGGGAGCAAACAGG
rnacentral:rRNA from 1 species